AAGUGGUAAGGAUCAUUAAAUUUUUUUUUAGUGAUAUUUAACAUAUUUAAGACAAAUAAACUUGAAACCUUAUUUUAAUAUUAUUUUUUUUGGUUUGUUUUGCAUUCCAAAAUUCAUUAAGAAACUCAUCGGUAAUUAUUUUAGGCUUUAAUGGUAUAAUGGGUCAACACAUCUCUAAUAAGUAAUGGACCUUCAUGUUCUGCUGGGCAUAAAGCAAGUUUAACAACUAGGCAGACUUCAAUAGAAAAAUUGAGUCCUAGGAAGAAAAAAUUAACUUACCAGUUGUAGCAUUCGUCUUCUAGAUUCGCAAUUACUUUAAUAGAAAAUCGAAGAAAAUAGCUUUAGUGAAAGCAAAAUUAUCCAGCCUGCCAUAUAAAUUGAAAGCUCUAAAGCAAAGUUUUAAAAGAAAAGAAGAUAUUAUGAAAGCUUUAAAAGCUCAACUUAGAGACUUUAAAUAUCAAAACCAAACAUAUUAUUACAGUAGGCGAAUUUACAAACUUAUUGCAUCAAAAAAAGCAAUGAAAAUAAGAGAGAGAAAAGUUUAGAAAGUUAGCUCUUAAACAUAAUGCUACCAUUAGAACAAAUAAAAAAGUUAUUACUUUCUUAGAAGAUAAGACCCAGAUAGAGGAGGACAAGAUAAGUAUUACAAAUACAACUGAUUCUAAAAACUAUUCAUUAAAAAUAAGAAUAAUAAUAUACUGCAUGUUAUUGUGCAAUGUCCCAACAAGUAACAUUCCAUUUCUAGUAGACAAAAUUGGGCAAUAUUUCAGUGUUAUUUUUUCUCACAUUGCUUACCGUAGUACUAUUGAGCAAAUGGCUUGUGAGCAUGGCAGUAUUGCUGAUCUGCAGGCAGCAGAAUGGAUCAUUAGUAAUACUCACCUUACUCAUGGGUUUGACGCAACAACACAAGAAGGUGUUUAUGUCAAGAAUAUUCACUUAACUUUAAAUGAUAAAUGCCAGGUUAUUGCUGUUGAUCAAUUACCAGGUGGGAAAGCUGUCAAUUAUGCAAACCAUAUAUGUAACAAAGUGGAUCAUGCAGAUUUAGUUUUAAACUUUCACUUGAAACCCUUUGAAGAAUGUUGUUGUAUGGUCAUCUCAAAUAUUUCAAGCACAAUGUGGAACAGAGUAUCUGUUAACCAGUUUACAAUAAGAAAAGUUGGUGAAACUUGGGGUAAAAGUCUGAAUGAGUUAAAUUGCCGUUUGCACCCUCUUGACACAAUUGCUACAUCAUGUCGUUUAACCUUUAAGUCUAUCGAGCUUGAAAGCUGUGAAUUAUAUGGAAAUUAUUGUAUGGCUGCAAAAAUUGUUUUAGCUAUAAAUAAGAUGAGGUUCAAAGAUGGCAAAGGUGACCCAAAGGGAUUUGUUAAUUUUUUAGACAAUAAUAAACUACCACGAGGUAUCACUCCAAGGUAUCGUGGAGAUCACCUUCACAUUCUGUUCGACACUUGUUUUAUUUUAUAAAACAUUAUAGCAAGUUUAUACCUUUUCUGACUAUAGGAAUAGUAAAAAAAAAAAAAAUUACAAAAGGUUCUUCAAGUAGCAUUUUGUAAUGCAACUGCUAUAAAGCAAAUGUGCCAAUGCAUAAUAUAUAAAAAGUAAAUAUUUUAGAACCAAAAAUAAAAGUAUGCAAAAUUGAUGACGAACUCAUUGCCAUGAUGUUGGCUUGCUUCAGAAGCACUUGAAGAAGAAACAGCUAGUGCAAGGCUUCAUAACAUAGAUAGUGAAGAGUUAAUGGGAAUGUUCAGUGCUGCCUUUUGCAGCACUGAACAUUUCCAUUCUCUUUAUGCAACAAUUGACAAUAUAUAUUGCAAAUUACAAAUUUAUGCAACAAUUGACUAAAUAUCUUGCAAAUUAUGAACCAAAAAAAAUAUGACAAUGGAUUAUCUGGAUAAUCUUGAUAACUUUUCUAAAAAAAAGUUCAGUGGUCUAUUCAGGCAGCGCGUAAAAAACGAAUACAAACUCGACUACAACAUGCUGAAAUUAGAGCUGAGAUUUCUAAAAGACAGACUUAAAAAUGCCAAAAAAUUGAUGAAAAAGAAAAAAGAAAGUUAAAGCAACAAUUAAUAUUAUUAAGUAUCAGUGAAAUUCCGAACUUGUUUAAAAACUUAUCUACUAAGCAAAUUGAUGAUUUAAAUGAUGUUAUGUGUGAAAGAAUUGUUGGGAGAAAUCUUUGCCAUGAAUGGUAUGAUACCGAUACAGCAAUAUCAGUCUUGUAUAAUGGGAGAUCAGAAAAACAUAAAAAAACAUAAAAAGACAUACACUAUUUCUUACUGGACUAGAGAAGAAAAUGAUUCUGAAGCUGUAAUAUGCAAAAAAAUAUAAAGCAAGUUGUGGAACUUGCAAGUUUUUUUUGAUAGACGGCUCUGGCCUACGUUCAUGUCGUGUCUAUUGUUAACUAUGAAUAAUAUAUAGUUUCGUUAAUGGAAUUUAAUAUCUUAAUUAUUAACUAAAAGCCAAGAUGCAAAUUAAUUAAAAUAAUAUUAUAAUACAUUUUUUGUUUUUAAAUUUUUUUUUUAGGUCAGAGGAGGAACCAUCUUAUUACAAAACAUUGUGGAUGUAUCUUAAAUUUUGGUUGUAAAAAAAAAAAAAAAGGGGGAGGGGGGACAACGUCACUCCUCCCCCUACCCCACCUACACCCAUUGAAACAAAGUGUGCGCUGUUAGUGAUGUUUUAAAGUAGUAAAAUAUAACUUUUGAUUUAAAUAUUUGAUUUCUUUUUAAUUGUAAAAAUAAAUAUUUAUAAAAAAAAGAGUCAUUUUUGAUAA